UAUAAGGGAUUUUGAGUUUUUGCUUUUAACGUUUGACCACUUGUCUUAUUCAAAAUUUUUUAAAAUUAUUAUUUGUUUUAUUUGUGACUUUAUUAUCUACUGUACUUUAAGCACAACUUUUCGUUUUUUAUAUUUAGAAAUUUUUUUUGAAUAAGACGAGUGGUCAAACGUUGCAAGCAAAAACUCAAAAUCCCUUAUA
rnacentral:pre_miRNA from 1 species